rnacentral:rRNA from 1 species
AUUGAACGCUGGCGGCAGGCCUAACACAUGCAAGUCGAACGGUAACAGGGAUCAGCUUGCUGAUUCGCUGACGAGUGGCGGACGGGUGAGUAAUGUCUGGGAAACUUCCUGAUGGAGGGGGAUAACUACUGGAAACGGUAGCUAAUACCGCAUAACGUCGCAAGACCAAAGAGGGGGACCUUCGGGCCUCUUGCCAUCGGAUGUGCCCAGAUGGGAUUAGCUAGUAGGUGGGGUAACGGCUCACCUAGGCGACGAUCCCUAGCUGGUCUGAGAGGAUGACCAGCCACACUGGAACUGAGACACGGUCCAGACUCCUACGGGAGGCAGCAGUGGGGAAUAUUGCACAAUGGGCGCAAGCCUGAUGCAGCCAUGCCGCGUGUAUGAAGAAGGCCUUCGGGUUGUAAAGUACUUUCAGCGGGGAGGAAGGGAGUAAAGUUAAUACCUUUGCUCAUUGACGUUACCCGCAGAAGAAGCACCGGCUAACUCCGUG